AAAGUCCGUCGGAAAUCCGUCACUGAUUUGAUUCUCAUCUUUAUAUUCUUCUACCAUUGAUAAUUGGUAACAUUGAUAAUUCUCAUCUUUAUAUUCUUCUACCAUCAUUCACAAAUUUGAUUCACAAAUCAUGUGACCAAUCAAAAUUUGCCACAUAGAUUUUUUCUAAUUUAAAUAAUUAACAUAAAAUCUGUAAAAGAAAUUUGAGAUCGUUAUACAAAAAUGUGCAAUCAAAUUUUGACAUAUGGCAAGUUUAUCAGAAAAGUAAGGAAAUUAACGAAGAUGAAAAAAAUUCAAAGGUAAAAUAACAAAUCAUAUUUUGCCACAUCAUUUGACACCAGAAUAUUUGUUCUUCUCCACGAUCUCCUAUCUUCACCGUUUCUACUCCACGAUUUUCAUCUAACUGCUUCAUCUGCAUCUUUAAAAGACUCGAAAUUGCUUUUUCUCUCCCUUGACGAACUCACUAUCUUCUUCUCACUUGUGCUGACUCUCUUUCUCAAAUCCAAAAACUCAUUCAAUCACUAUUGGAGUUCGCUAUGUAUACAACAUCUAAGAAGAGACAUUGGCAUUUAGCAUAUGCCAUUUAGCAUAAGUGCCUAAAUAAUUCUUUAUUUUUUCUUCUUCGAGGUAACAACUUCUUCAAUCUGUAGCUUUACUUUAAAAGUGUAAUUCAUAUACUUCUUUAACAACUAAGCUUGAUACACUUGGUUUUUUUUUUUUGGUCAAAGGCUUGGUACAUUUGGUUAACAAUUGAGAUUUCUCUUAUUUGGUGGCAGAAUAGAG